rnacentral:rRNA from 1 species
CCAAAGCUGGCACCGGCGCACGGGUGAGUAACACGUAUCCAACCUGCCUCAUACUCGGGGAUAGCCUUUCGAAAGAAAGAUUAAUAUCCGAUAGCAUAUAUUUCCCGCAUGGGUUUUAUAUUAAAGAAAUUCGGUAUGAGAUGGGGAUGCGUUCCAUUAGUUUGUUGGGGGGUAACGGCCCACCAAGACUACGAUGGAUAGGGGUUCUGAGAGGAAGGUCCCCCACAUUGGAACUGAGACACGGUCCAA